GCUAGGAGUCAAAUCAGAGCUACAACUGCCAGCAUACACCACAGCUCAUAGCAACACUGGAUCAUUAACCCACUGAGCAAGGCCAGGGAUCAAACCUGCAUCCUCAUGGAUACUAGUCAAGUUCGUUUCUACUGAGCCACAAUGGCAACUCCUCAAUUCUACAUUAAUAAGAAAAAAAUAUUAUUUUUUUCCUUUUAGGGCCGCACCCUCUGCAUAUGGAAGUUCCCAGGAUAGGGGUCGAAUCAGAGCUGUAGCUGCUGGCCUAUACCACAGCCACAGCAACAAAGGAUGAGCCAUGUCUGCGACCCACACCACAGCUCACAAUAAAGCCAGAUCCCCGACCAACUGAGUGAAGCCAGGAAUAGAACCUAUAUCCUCAUAGAUACUAGUCAGAUUCAUUUCCACUGCACCAUGAAGGGAAUUCCCAAGAAAAUUUUUUUUAAAGUCAUAAGCCCUCCAGAUGGAGAUAACAUGUGGAGAGACCAUGUGGAGAGAUUCUGAGAUGAUGCAAAGAGAAGGAGGCUUUGUCACCACUGUUUGCCAUGUAAGCCCUGCCUUCUAGCGGUUCUCACCAUGAUGCCAGCCAUGGGAGGGAUGCAUACGGUGUCUUGCCAGCCCAAGGAAGCCCCCAUGUGACUGCAGCCCCAGCUGACAUCACAUGGAACAGGAGAACUGUCUGCCUGAUCCCAGCCAACUCACAAAAUCAUGAGAGGCAAUAAUAUGGUUAUUUUACUGGAUUUCAAAACAAGGAGGUGGAGACGGGGUGGGCGUGAUGACUAAGCAAUAGAUAACUGAAACAGCCAGCAAAAAUCUUCAAAUGUGAACUUCUUGGAGAAGGACCAAGAACUAAAUGUCAAGUUAAAUUGCAAAGCUGCAGACCAAGUACUGGUCAACAUUGAUGAAGUAAAAAGAACAUGGGGUUUGAGUUGGUGCAACUGGUUGAGAACUGACUGAGCUACUUAGGAGCUUUCUAACCUCAAAUAAAUCAUUUGACCUUUUUUCUCCUCUAUCCUCUUAUCGUAAAAUAUGGGCAUCACUGAUGUCACUUUCCGGGGCUUCUGAGAAAGGGCAGACGAAACCGUUUAAGAGAAGAUGCUUUUUACCAGUAAGGCCGAUUGCUUUCUGCCCCUCUUCUUUUCUUUGAGCUUAGAGAUUUGUUGAUCAUGAACAGUGGCUUUUUAAAAGAGAACACUGUUGUAUCCUACCUUGGAGUGACAAGAGAAUGCCCAGACCGAGGUAACAUUUUACCCAUCUGACAUCCAAGAAAGGGCCCCCAGGGUAGUUCUCAUGUGCUCAGCAUCCUAAGCCAUUUCCCCAAGGUUCUAUAGAAGAGGCUAGAGAGCUCAGUGGAGCCUCUUCUGCUUGAGCACUAAUUCUGCUCAUGCAGGCUGCACCUCAUGCCUAAUCCUUUCCCUCAGUCCCCAUCUACUCAUAUCAGCAUCUUUGGGAGUUGGGAUUUCAACGUAUGAAUUGAUGGGGGUAGGGUGGGGGUCCCUCAGCAAUGAAUAAAUGCAGGGUCUUUGCACUUUGACCUUAGACCUAGUGCCCCCGGAAUGGGGCCUCGGGAAUCUGCCUCUUGCUAAAUUUUCCCAGUGGUUGAUCUUCAUUCCCUCUUAAGAUUGAGACCCAUCGGCCUUGCCCGGAUCAAACAGGAUCAUUUAGAAAAAAACAAUGAGAGAGAUAAGGUAUCAUGAUAUUCCAGACCCAGGGAGAAAGGGAGUUUUAUACCUGCUAGCCCAGGAACUGUUUCCAAACGGACCAUUAGCCAUUGAGUCAAGCUCAGGACUGGCCAGGAAAGGAGCUCCCCCAUGUCCGAGCUGAGAGUACAUCCUCCCAGUGGCUCUUUGGCAUUGCAUUUGCACACAUAGGGGCUGGGUGACAAGCCCUCGUCUGGUCCUGACAUGAAAAGUCCUGGUGGGUGGGUGUGUCUGUAUGCCUGUGUGUGAGUGUAUGUCUAUGUGAAUGUGUGAGUGUUUACAUCUGUGCGUGUGAGCAUGUGUCUCUGUGUGUGUGUGUGUGUGUGAGUGUACGUGUGUGUGUCUGUGUGUUGAGAUUGUAUGUCUCCAUGUGUAAUUGUGUGUGUGUGAAUGUGUGUCUCUCUGUGUGUUUUAGUGUGUGUCAGUGUGUGUGAGUGUGUCUCUGUGUGUGUGUCUGUGUGUGAGAGUGUGUAUGUGAGUAUGUGUCUCUGUGUGUGUGAGUGUGUCUGUGUGUGAGUGUUUUCAUGUGUGUCUGUGUCUGUGUGUGAGUGUGUGUCUGUGUCUGUGUGUCUGUGUGUCUCUGUGUCUCUGUGUGUGUGUGUGUGUGUGUGUGCGUCUGUGUGUGUGUCUGUGUGUGAGUGUGUGUCUGUGUCUGUGUGUGAGUGUGUGUCUGUGUCUGUAGGAAGAAGCACAGAGCACUCUGUGUCUGAGGAGGCAGGGCUGGAGGGUUAGACAGGACAAGGCUCAAACCCAACUCCAUCUCACUCUUUACCACAAACCCAUUUUAGAUUGAUUAGAGCUUGAAAUGAAAAAAGUAAAAGAGAAAACAUAGAAAGACAAUUUCAUAAUCUUCCACAGAACUUCUCAGCAUGACACCAAACUCAGAGGCUGUAAAGGAAAAGAACUUAAAAUUUCAGCUACCUGAAAGUAAAAACCUUUUUAUGAAGAAUAUAAUGAGGGGGGAAACUAACAUUUAACAAACACAUGAAAACUUAGGGCGAGUGUUUGCAGCAUUUGCUACCAACAAAGGGUUAAUGCUCACACUAAACUAAUUCCCACAAAUCCAAGAGAAAACUGGGCAAAGGAUAAGAAUAAACAGUCCACAGAAGAAGGAAAACAGACAAUAAAUAUGAAAAAGAUGUUUAAGAUUACUAAUAACCAAAGUAAUACAGCUUAGCAUAAUAGGAAAACAACAAGUUUUGGCAGAGACCGAAUGAUUUCUGAUAACCAAGUCGGUGAUAACAAGGAGCCAGGCACAGCUAUUUUAAGUGUAAACUGUUGAAAUCUUUUUUGGAGAGUAAAGGGUCCACAUCCAGGAAAAUCUAAAACUUGUGCUCCAUUUGUCCCAGCAAUUUUAUUUUUAGGAGUUUAUCCCAAAUUGGUCACUGCACAAAUAAAUAGCUCUAUGGAUACAGUACGAGGCUGGUGUUUUCAAAGAACAUCUGGGAUUUUGAAGAAUUUGGAUUGAGGCUAGGGGCCCAUUUGGAGAAUGUAUGGCCCAGAUGCUUCCACGGAAUAUGACCCUUGACCAGCCGUUGGUCAAGGAGGGGACACUUGAGCCGAGGGGUCCAACCAGGAUGAAUGGCACAACUCUGGCUUGCCCUGUAAGUGGCAGCUUUUCCCUCUCUUCCUCUGUAACACUGGGGAGAGAAUGUAAAGCCUGGUGCUGCUGUAACAAUCAUUUUGCCACCACCAGGGGAAAUAACCUUCUGAAAAAAACCAGCUUGCAAAGGAGGGCAGGUCAGGGGGAAACAAAUGCCAAAGAUAACACAGUAACAACCAGCGGAGCUAGAAACACUGGAUUAAGUCCAACUUGAAGCUGCCAUGUCCAUGAACUUCAGUUACAUAAGCCAAUAGUUUUCUUUAUGAAGCCAAACUGAAUCACUUUCUGAAACUUGCAGCAAAAUGCCUCGUGAUAUAGCCAUCAGGAGAGAAUUGGUUAAAUAAAUUAUGACACAGCCAUUUAACAAAAUACUGCGCAAGGGAUUAAAAAAGUGUAGGUCCCCCAAAAGAAUAUGUACUGGUGUUUAUAGCAGCACUAUUUACAAUAGUCAAGACAAGGAAGCACCCUAAAUGUCCAUCAACAGAUGAAAGGAUAAAGAAAAUGUGGGGGUUGUGUGUGUAUGUGAGAGAUGUUAUAUAUAAUACACAGACACACACACACACAUGAUGGAGUAUUACUCAGCCAUAAAAGAGAAUGAAAAAAACGCCGUUUGCAGCAACAUGGAUGGACCUAGAGAUUCUCAUACUAAGUGAAGUAAGUCAGACAGAGAAAGGCAAAUAUAAUAUGGAAUCACUUAUAUGCGGAUUUGUUAAGGGAUAUAAAUGAACUAAUUUUACAAAACAGAAAGAGACUCACACACACAGAAAACAAACUUAGGGUUAUCAAAGAGGAAAAGUGGGGGAAGAAUACAUUGUGAGUUUGAGAUUAAUAGAUACGCACUACUAUAUAUAAAAUGGAUAACCAACAGGGACCUACUGUAGAGCACAGGGAACUAUACUCAAUAUUUUAUAAUAACCCCUAAGGGGAGAGAACAGUUAUAAAUACAGUUAUAUAACUGAAUCACUGUGAUGUACAUCUGAAACUAACACAACAUUGUAAAUUUACUAUACUUCAAUUAACUAUAUACACAUAGAUCACUGCAUAGGCCGUGUAAUGUACAAAUCUCCAUUAGGUACCUUUAUCAGGAAAAUGAUGCUAUCACCCCAUUUAGUUAAAAAAGUAAACUGAGCUAAAGAUAGAGAUAUAAAUGAGAAUCAUAGGGGAAGAGAAGCUUUUAUUUCUAUCUUUAUACACUUCUGAUUUUUUUAAGGUUUUUGCAAUACAUAUGUGUUCCUUUUAAUAUAUACAUCUAUGCAUAAAUAGAUAUUUCAGUUUGGGAACUCUGAAGUGCUCUAAGUAACAUCAUUGUUAAAAUUAUGAUCUUAAAAUUUAAACAGGUAUUUUAAAAACAGGUUUUAAUGGCAUGGUCUCCAAAUCUCAUUUUUUUUACAUCAGAUCAGUGUGCAUAAACUGAUGCUUAUUUUGCCGUUAAUCACUUCUUCUAGUUUCUUGUCUGGCUGAAAUAGAAUGUGUGUCUUAAUCACUAAAAGUAAUAAAAAUAAAAACCAUCUCACAGGGCCUGGCGCACAAUGGCUCAUCAAUGACAGUUUGCAUUGUUAUUCCAUUUUCUCAGCAUGAAGGGAGCCCUUCCUGAAAUUCAUUUUCGCUUGGGGAUCAGUGUGUCUUCCUCUGACUUUACAUUCAUCAAAUGCCCUGGAAGUAUCAGCCAUUCACCUGGGUCCAGCUCAGGGACUGUGCUGAGUCUCCUGACCCUAGAAAUGACAGCAGUAGACACAGCCUCGGGAAAAC
rnacentral:lncRNA from 1 species